rnacentral:rRNA from 1 species
UUGGAGGCAAGUCUGGUGCCAGCAGCCGCGGUAACUCCAGCUCCAAUAGCGUAUAUUAAAGUUGUUGCAGUUAAAAAGCUCGUAGUUGAAUUUCGAGAUCAACAUGUCAGUCGUGCCUCCGGUACGUACUGGUAUCGUUGAUUUCUACCUUCUGACGAACCAUGAUGUCAUUAAUUUGGUGUCAUGGGGAAUCAGGACUGUUACUUUGAAAAAAUUAGAGUGUUUAAAGCAGGC